AAGCGGCCCCCGAAGACGAUGGAGCUGAUGACAUUGGAGACGGUUCGGCUCAGGAAGAAGCAACUUCAGGAACUGCUUGUCCUCAUAGUCAAAGCGGCUUCCAAAGACGACGGAACUGAUGACAUUGGAGACAGUGCGGCUCAGGAAGAAAGGGGCACGGGUUCGAGCCCUUGUCUAGGAAGAUCCCACAUGCCGCGGAGCAACUAAGCCGGUGAGCCACAACUACUGAAGCCCGUGUGCCUAAGAGCCCGUACUCCGCAGCAAGAGAAGCCACUGCAGUGAGAAGCCUCAGCUCGCCGCAACUUAGAGAAAGCCCGUGCGCAACAACG